GAUGAACGCUGGCGGCGUGCCUAAUACAUGCAAGUCGAGCGAACAGACGAGGAGCUUGCUCCUCUGACGUUAGCGGCGGACGGGUGAGUAACACGUGGAUACCCUACCUAUAAGAGUGGGAUAACUUCGGGACACCGGAGCUAAUCCCGGAUAAUAUAUUGAACCGCAUGGUGCAAUAGUGAAAGACGGCUUUGCUGUCUCUUAUAGAUGGAUCCGCGCCGCAUUAGCUAGUUGGUAAGGUAACGGCUUACCAAGGCAACGAUGCGUAGCCGACCUGAGAGGGUGAUCGGCCACACUGGAACUGAGACACGGUCCAGACUCCUACGGGAGGCAGCAGUAGGGAAUCUUCCGCAAUGGGCGAAAGCCUGACGGAGCAACGCCGCGUGAGUGAUGAAGGUCUUCGGAUCGUAAAACUCUGUUAUUAGGGAAGAACAAAUGUGUAAGUAACUAUGCACGUCUUGACGGUACCUAAUCAGAAAGCCACGGCUAACUACGUG
rnacentral:rRNA from 1 species